GGACAACCUGCCCUCGGAGAGGGGAGAUAACCCCGGGAAAACUGGGGCUAAACCCCCAUAGGUGAUGGAUACUGGAAUGUUCCAUCACCGAAAGUCCGCAAGGAGCCCGAGGAUGGGUCUGCGGCGGAUUAGGUAGUUGGUGGGGUAACGGCCCACCAAGCCUAAGAUCCGUACGGGCCAUGGGAGUGGGAGCCCGGAGAUGGACCCUGAGACAAGGGUCCAGGCCCUACGGGGCGCAGCAGGCGCGAAACCUCCGCAAUGCGGGAAACCGCGACGGGGUCAGCCGGAGUGCCGAUGCUUGCAUCGGCUGUCGGGGAGCCUAAAAAGCUCCCCAUAGCAAGGGCCGGGCAAGGCCGGUGGCAGCCGCCGCGGUAAUACCGGCGGCCCGAGUGGCGGCCACUAUUAUUGGGCUUAAAGCGUCCGUAGCCGGGUUGGUUAGUCUCCCGGGAAAUCUGGCCGCUUAACGGUCAGAAUUCCGGGAGAUACUGCCAGCCUAGGGACCGGGAGAGGCCGAGGGUAUUCCCGGAGUAGGGGUGAAAUCCUAUAAUCCCGGGAGGACCACCUGUGGCGAAGGCGCUCGGCUGGAACGGGUCCGACGGUGAGGGACGAAGGCCAGGGGAGCAAACCGGAUUAGAUACCCGGGUAGUCCUGGCUGUAAACGAUGCGGACUUUGUGUCGGACAAGCUAUGAGCUUGUCCGGUG
rnacentral:rRNA from 1 species